rnacentral:rRNA from 1 species
AUUGAACGCUGGCGGCAGGCCUAACACAUGCAAGUCGAACGAGUGGCGGACGGGUGAGUAAUGUCUGGGAAACUGCCCGAGGGCGGGGGGUAACUACUGGAAACGGUAGCUAAUACCGCAUACCAUCGGAUGUGCCCAGUUGGGAUUAGCUAGUAGGUGGGGUAACGGCCCACCUAGGCGACGAUCCCUAGCUGGGCGGAGAGGGUGACCAGCCACCUUGGAAGUGAGACACUGUCCAGACUCCUACGGUAGGGUGCAGUGGGGAAUAUUGCACAAUGGGGGCAAACCUGACGCAGCCAUGCCGCGUGUAUGAAGACGGCCUUCCGGUUGUAAAGUACUUUCACCGAGGAGGCGUUACUCGCAGAAGAAGCACCGGCUAACUCCGUGCCAGCAGCCGCGGUAAUAC